rnacentral:lncRNA from 1 species
UAAAAAAUCCAAAUUAAAAAAAAAAUUAACUAGGGCAUAUGAAAUUUUCUUUGUCCAGAUAACAGGAGCCACCUAGAAUGCCAGAAUACUUCAGCUUCCUAGAGGAAUGAGGAUACCAGGCAUUCCCCACCUGCUCCUUUCAGAUUUGGGAUUUCCUUUUUUGCUUACAAUGCCCCAAUACAAGAUAAGAAGAGUAGGAAUACAAAAAGAGCCACUGUACAGUGCUAAAGGAACAUCGAACUUGAACUGCAAAGUGCCAAAUGAGGACAAAAAGAUAAAGUGAUGCCUGGAGGGUAGAGUUGAAUUUCCCAAGAUUCAGCAAGAAGCAAAGUGAUAAUUCAAACCCACAUCCUUUAACUUCAGAUGGAAUACUUUCACAAUUAAAUUAUGAAUGUCUUAAAAUUUCCUU